AGCAACUAGGGGCCUGAUCCAGAGCCCGUUGAAGUCAGCGGGAGACAUUCAAGUGACUUCAGGGGGCUUUGAAUGAGGCUCUCAGUGAUCACACU
rnacentral:pre_miRNA from 1 species